CGUCGAAGGUGGGGCUGAUGACUGGGGUGAAGUCGUAACAAGGUAUCCGUACCGGAAGGUGCGGAUGGAUCACCUCCUAACAGGGAGACAACACAAUGAUUUUGAUGCCUGAGUACUUUUAUUCUUAGGCCGAAAUCCUGUCACCUUAGGUCGAUCGGUACCUCAGCUUUGAAGUCAAGGAUCAGCAGAAAUGUUGAUUGCUUGAUGGAGAUUUUCAGUUCCUAAACUUUGUCUAGGUCACACCCCAAAAGGGAUGAGACUCCUGGGCCAUUAGCUCAGGUGGUUAGAGCGCACCCCUGAUAAGGGUGAGGUCCCUGGUUCAAGUCCAGGAUGGCCCAUUCGGUGUUGGGGGUUUAGCUCAGUUGGUAGAGCGCCUGCUUUGCAAGCAGGAUGUCAGGAGUUCGAGUCUCCUAACCUCCACUGACCGAACUUGAUUCCCAUCUCCAAUUUUUUGGAGUUGAGCUCGAUUGGAGUGUGAUUUAGAUGCGUCCGCUGGAUGACCCCAGCUUCCUGUCAUUCCAAGUUUUAGGUUAAAGCCUUGAAUUUGGUUGAUAAGAUGCUGGGCUCGGAUCAAAUGAUCAAGCAAUUGAUGAUUUGAUUUGAAGUUCUAGCAGAACCUUGACAACUGCAUAGGUGAGUCUGGAAAAAACAAAGCAUCUUACAGAUGCAUUGUUUUGAAUCUAAUCUUCUGAAAAGAAGAUUGGAUCUAGAACAAUGAAAAUUCUUUUGAGCAAGAGCCGAGACUCUUGAGCGUUCUUUGAUUGGUGUCGAGCCAAUUAGAGUUUGAUCUUGUUUUUAGCAAUAAAAACUUGAGAAUCUGCUUUCAACGGCGGUAAGCGUUCAGGAGGUUAAUUGGUCAAGCUACAAAGGGCUCACGGCGG
rnacentral:misc_RNA from 1 species